rnacentral:misc_RNA from 1 species
UUAAAACUUUCAACAACGGAUCUCUAGGUUCUCGCAUCGAUGAAGAACGCAGCGAAAUGCGAUACGUAGUACGAAACGCAAGUCGUGAAUCAUCGAAUCUUUGAACGCACAUUGCGCUGUGUGGCAUUCCACACAGCAUGCCUGUUUGAGCGUCCUUUCUCUCUCGCAUUGCGGUGAUGGGAGGCACUCUGGGAAGCGUCCUCUCGAAACGGAGCAGCCACGACUGUUAGUGUAGUCGCCGGCUUUUGAACGUCGACCUCAAAUCAGGUAGGAGUACCCGCUGAACUUAAGCAUAUC